rnacentral:rRNA from 1 species
GACGAACGCUGGCGGCGUGCUUAACACAUGCAAGUCACGGGGGCUCGCAAGAGCAACCGGCGAACGGGUGCGUAACACGUGAGCAACCUGCCGAUCUGAGGGGGAUAGCCGGCCCAACGGCCGGGUAAUACCGCAUACGUUCUCGAGGGGGAGUCCUCUUGGGAAGAAACCUCCGGGGCAGAUCGAGGGGCUCGCGGCCUAUCAGCUAGUUGGCGGUGUAAUGGACCACCAAGGCUANGACGGGUAGCUGGUCUGAGAGGAUGGCCAGCCACAUUGGGACUGAGAGACGGCCCAGACUCCUACGGGAGGCAGCAGUGGGGAAUCUUGCGCAAUGGCCGAAAGGCUGACGCAGCGACGCCGCGUGUGGGAUGAAGCAUUUCGGUGUGUAAACCACUAGUUGCCCGGGACGAACAUCCUCUUUCGAGAGGACUGACGGUACCGGUGAGGAAGCACCGGCUAACUCCGUGCCAGCCGCCGCUGUAAG